CGGCGGACGGGUGAGUAAUGCUUAGGAAUCUGCCUAUUAUGGGGGACAACAUUCCGAAAGGAAUGCUAAUACCGCAUACGUCCUACGGGAGAAAGCAGGGGAUCUUCGGACCUUGCGCUAAUAGAUGAGCCUAAGUCGGAUUAGCUAGUUGGUGGGGUAAAGGCCUACCAAGGCGACGAUCUGUAGCGGGUCUGAGAGGAUGAUCCGCCACACUGGGACUGAGACACGGCCCAG
rnacentral:rRNA from 1 species